rnacentral:rRNA from 1 species
UACGUAGGGGGCAAGCGUUGUCCGGAAUCAUUGGGCGUAAAGCGCGCGUAGGCGGCCCGGUAAGUCCGCUCUGAAAGUCCAGGGCUCAACCCUGGAAAGCGGGUGGAUACUGCCGGGCUAGAAUCCGGAAGAGGCGAGUGGAAUUCCUGGUGUAGCGGUGGAAUGCGCAGAUAUCAGGAGGAACACCAGUGGCGAAGGCGGCUACCUGGACCGGUUCUGACACUGAGGAGCGAAAGCGUGGGGAGCGAUCCGG